GUUGAUUUACAGCUUGGUUUUGUAGAAAAAUAUUUAGUGAGCAAAGACUCUGCUGUAGAAAAGCUGAUCCUAUUUUUUUAUGUGGGCUUUACACCAGCUGAAUACUGAUGAAAAAAAAUCACAUUUGACAAUAUUGAUUUUAAGAUACUCUGAUGGUAUUAAAAUUUUAUAAAAAUGACAUGUUCUGAAAGGUAAUGAUUUAGUUAUUAAGCAAGGGGACAUGCUCUAAAAUUUGGAACCUUAAGAUUAAGAAUGUAUUUUUCUAAUGUCAGUCUCCUUUGAAGUUUCAUUUUUAUGAAGGGUUUUAUGUGUGUGUGUGUAUUGCCUAUAUUUAAACAUCUUUUUUCUCUGUGUUCUAAUGAUGACCGUGACAAAAAUUACUUUCUCCUGCGCCUAUAAAUUCAUUUUAAAGGUGGAAGGAUGCAUAAAAAUGUCUAGUUUCCGUGUAGAGUAGUAUUCGUAAUUCAAAUAGAUGGCAGCAUUUUAAAUGUGCUCUUUUGAUGUUUUUCACAGGUCGUGGCAAUUCUGCAGAAGUUCUAUUCCAACAGUGAAAGUGCAUUGGGGUUAAAUUUCAUCAAUGAGCUCAUCAUAAGGUUCCGGCACUGUUCUAAGUGGGUUGGAAGGCAAGCUUUCGCUUUCAUUUGUCAGAUUCUGAAAUGACUUCUUUGGGAUUAAAGAAGUGUAUGUUUCUAGAAGACUGCGGAAAACAUCAUUUCUUUGGCUGUGACUUUCUUGGAGCAGGCAGUGGUGAGCAAGGAGUGUGUCCC
rnacentral:lncRNA from 1 species